UACGUAGGGUGCGAGCGUUGUCCGGAAUUACUGGGCGUAAAGAGCUCGUAGGUGGUUUGUCGCGUUGUCCGUGAAAACUCACAACUCAACUGUGGGCGUGCGGGCGAUACGGGCAGACUGGAGUACUGCAGGGGAGACUGGAAUUCCUGGUGUAGCGGUGGAAUGCGCAGAUAUCAGGAGGAACACCGGUGGCGAAGGCGGGUCUCUGGGCAGUAACUGACGCUGAGGAGCGAAAGCGUGGGGAGCGAACAGG
rnacentral:rRNA from 1 species